rnacentral:rRNA from 1 species
AGAGUUUGAUCCUGGCUCAGAAUGAACGCUGGCGGCGUGCUUAACACAUGCAAGUCGUGCGCGAAAGUGACUUCGGUCGCGAGUAGAGCGGCGGACGGGUGAGUAACACGUGGACAACCUGCCUGGGGAUGGGGGAUAACUUGGGGAAACUCGAGCUAAUACCGCAUACGCCUGCAGCCUUUUGGCGCUGCAGGGAAAGAUGGCCUCUGCUUGCAAGCUAUCGUUCCCAGAGGGGUCCGCGCCUGAUUAGCUAGUUGGUGGGGUAACGGCCUACCAAGGCGACGAUCAGUAGCCGGCCUGAGAGGGUGAUCGGCCACACUGGAACUGAGACACGCUCCAGACUCCUACGGGAGGCAGCAGUGGGGAAUAUUGGACAAUGGGCGAAAGCCUGAUCCAGCAACGCCGCGUGGAGGAUGAAGGCCUUCGGGUUGUAAACUCCUGUCAGGUGGGACGAAGGAAGCUUGGUCAAUAUCCAGGCUUCUUGACGGUACCAUCAGAGGAAGCCCCGGCUAACUCCGUGCCAGCAGCCGCGGUAAUACGGAGGGGGUGAGCGUUAUUCGGAAUUAUUGGGCGUAAAGGGCGCGUAGGCGGCUUGACAAGUCAGGGGUGAA